AUUUUAUAUAAAGUAAGAUGUUUAUUUUUUAAGAAGUUAGUAGCUAAAAUUAUCAAAUAAAGGAAAUAUAUAUAACUAUGAAUUUUAGUAUUUGAAAUUAUAAAUAUAUAUAAAAUAUUACAUAAUCACCAAACAAAUAGUUUAAAAUUAUAAUAAAAUAUUUUUAUUUUAUGCUCCAUCCGUUUCUGAAAGUAAGAUUUUUUAGAGUUUUUACAUUUAUUAAGAAUAUAAUAAAUAUUUACAAUUUAUUUCUCAAUACACUUUCUAAUAAAUAUCCACCAAUAAAUUUAAUCAGUUCAAACAUUUACAAUUAAUGUUUGUUAAAAGUAUACAAAAAUACCUUAAAAAUAUAGAAAAUCUAUUUUCGUGGAAAAAAAUAAACUCUAGAAAAUCUUACUUCGAGAAAUGAGAGAAUACUAUUUUUGUUAAAACCGCACUACUUUUUUUUAUAAAAACCGCACUUAUCCUGCAAACCACAUAAACCGUUAUUGCACCGCACCGCACUUCAAUUCCGCUUCGUUUGCCAAAUCCGCCAUUACCGAUCCUGUAAGUCUCUCAUCAAA
rnacentral:lncRNA from 1 species